rnacentral:sRNA from 1 species
GUUCCCGUCAGAAGAUCACGAGGAUCAUCACAUUAAACUCUGUUUUGUUGAUCUCUCUUUCUGUUCCGUUUCUCUUUCCACUGCCAAAAGUUAAAGCUCUCUCUCUCACUCAAUCACACACUCAUUUCU